UACUUAGGGCGCAAGCGUUGUCCGGAAUUAUUGGGCGUAAAGAGCUCGUAGGCGGUCUGUCGCGUCGGAUGUGAAAGCCCGGGGCUUAACCCCGGGUCUGCAUUCGAUACGGGCAGACUAGAGUGUGGUAGGGGAGAUCGGAAUUCCUGGUGUAGCGGUGAAAUGCGCAGAUAUCAGGAGGAACACCGGUGGCGAAGGCGGAUCUCUGGGCCAUUACUGACGCUGAGGAGCGAAAGCGUGGGGAGCGAACAGG
rnacentral:rRNA from 1 species